rnacentral:rRNA from 1 species
CCUGGCUCAGAUUGAACGCUGGCGGCGUGCUUAACACAUGCAAGUCGAACGUGAAAGGGGCUUCGGCCCUAAGUAAAGUGGCGCACGGGUGAGUAACACGUGGAUAAUCUGCCCUUAUGAUCGGGAUAACAGUCGGAAACGGCUGCUAAUACCGGAUACGCUCAAAAUGAACUUUUUUGAGGAAAGGUGACCUCUGCUUGCAAGUUACUGCAUGAGGAUGAGUCCGCGGCCCAUUAGCUAGUUGGUAGGGUAACGGCCUACCAAGGCAACGAUGGGUAGCCGAUUUGAGAGGAUGAUCGGCCACACUGGGACUGAAACACGGCCCAGACUCCUACGGGAGGCAGCAGUGGGGAAUAUUGCGCAAUGGGCGAAAGCCUGACGCAGCGACGCCGCGUGAGGGAUGAAAGGUUUUCGGAUCGUAAACCUCUGUCAGAAGGGAAGAAACCGCACCGUGCUAAUCAGCGGUGCAUUGACGGUACCUUCAAAGGAAGCACCGGCUAACUCCGUGCCAGCAGCAGC